rfam:Nelumbo nucifera chloroplast, complete genome
GGAGAGAUGGCCGAGUGGUUGAUAGCUCCGGUCUUGAAAACCGGUAUAGUUCUCAACAAAGAACUAUCGAGGGUUCGAAUCCCUCUCUCUCCU